GUCCCCGUGGAGUAGUGGUUAUCUCGCUCGGUUCUCACCCGAGAGUUCGCCGGUUCAAAUCCGGCCGGGGAUG
rnacentral:tRNA from 1 species